rnacentral:lncRNA from 1 species
AAGGGAGUGGGGAGGGAGGGAGAGCUGGAGGGAGCAAAGGAGAGGUGGGGGGAGGGAAGGAGGGAGGAAGGAAGGAAGGAGGGAGGAAGGAAGGAAGGAGGAGGGAAGGAGGAAGGAAGGAAGGAAGGAAGGAGGAGGAAGGAAGAAGGAAGGAGGAAGGAAGAAGGAAGGAGGGAGGGAGGGAAGGAGGAAGGAGGAAGGAGGAGGAAGGAAGGAGGGAGGGAGGAAGGAAGGAGGGAGGGAGGAAGGAAGAAGGAAGGAAGGAAGGAAGGAAGGAGGGAGGGAGGGAGGGAGGGAGGGAGGAAGGAAGGAAGAAGGAAGGAAGGAGGGAGGAAGGAAGGAAGGACGGAAGGAAGGAAGAGAAGGAAGGAAGGAGAAGGAAGGAAGGAGGAAGGAAGGAGGGAGGGAGGGAGGGAGAAGGAAGGAGGAGGGAGGGAGGGAGGAAGGAAGGACGGAAGGAAGGAAGGAAGAAGGAAGGAGGGAGGGAGGAGGAAGGAAGGAGGAGGAAGGAAGGAAGAAGGAAGGAGGGAGGGAGGGAGGAAGGAAGGAAGGAGGAGGAAGGAAGGAAGGAGGAAGGAAGGAAGAAGGAAGGAGGGAGGGAGGGAGGAAGGAAGGAAGGACGGAAGGAGGGAGGAAGGAAGGACGGAAGGAAGGAAGGAAGGAAGGACGGAAGGAAGGAAGAAGGAAGGAGGGAGGGAGGGAGGAAGGAAGGACGGAAGGAAGGAAGGAAGGAAGGAGGAAGGAAGAAGGAAGGAAGGACGGAAGGAAGGAAGGAAGGAAGGAAGGAGGGAGGAAGGAAGGAGGAAGGAAGGAAGAAGGAAGGAAGGAGGAGGAAGGAAGGAAGAAAGGGAGGGAAGAAGGAAGGAGGGAGGGAGGGAGGAAGGAAGGAAGGAGGGAGGGAAGGAGGAAGGAAGGAAGGAGGAAGGAGGAAGGAGGAAGGAGGAAGGAGGAAGGAGGAAGGAAGAAGGAAGGAGGGAGGGAGGGAAGAAGGAAGGAAGGAGGAGGGAGGGAGGGAGGGAGGAAGGAAGAAGGAAGGAGGAGGAAGGAAGGAAGGAAGGAGGGAGGGAGGGAAGGGCAGGAAGUUGUCUGGUUUCCCUCCAUCCACCUUUUUCCACUCUGGACGUGUUUGAGGCCCA